AUGAGAAACGACAACGACCUCUUUGGAGUCUCUCAGAAACCGGUUCAGAAAACCUGGUGGAUUAGAGAGCAGAUCGACGUUGAAGGAAAGGAUGCCUCAAAAUACAGAGGAGAACAAUAUGUUUGGACUACCACCCCUGUGGACUCAAAACCUCUCUCGGUCUCGGUGGAAGGAAAUGGCAACCCCCCUUUGAAGAAAUACUGCCAAAGUUUGAGGCGCCAUAGGUCAGAAACUACUUAAGGCAUACAACAAGGGCUUCUAUUCUGGGUUGCUGUGAGUUUUCCGGGCUGUAAGUCCAUGUUCCAGAAGCAUUCUCUCCUGGCGUUUCGCCCACAUCUAUGGCAGGCAUCCUCAGAGGUUUGAAGUCUAUUGGAAACUGGGUAGAUGAGUUUUAUAUAUCUGUGGAAGGUCUAGAGUGGAAGAAAGAACUCUGCCUGUUGAACGCAAGUGCAAAUGUUGCAAUUAAUCACCUUGAUAAGCAUUAAAAAGCCUUGCAGCUUUUUGAUGUCUAGCUGAUUACUGCUCGGGAAUCCUUUGUUGGGAGGUAUUAGCUUGCCCUGAUUGUUUCAUGUCUGGAAUUCCUCUGUUUCAGAGUGUUGUUCUUUAUUUACUGCCCUGAUUUUAGAGUUUUUUUUAAAAUACUAGUAGCCAGAUUUUGUUCAUUUUCAUGGUUUUCUCCUUUCUGUUGAAAUUGUCCACAUGCUUGUGGAUUUUAAUGGCUCCUCUGUGCAGUCUGUGAGCAAUUUCAACAGCAAGGGGAAAAAAACAUCAAAUUGAACAAAAUCUAGCUACCUGGAUUUAAAGAACUCUAAAAUCAGGACAGUAAAUAAAGAACAAUGUUCAGAAAACGGGAAUUCCAAACAUGAAACAAUCAGGGCCAGCUAACACCUCCCAACAAAGGAUCCCCCCAGGCAGGAAUCAGCCAGGGUUUUAAGCUGCAAGGCUUUUCAAUGCUAAUCAAGUUGAUUAAUUGCAAUAUUCACAACAUAUAAAGAGUUAUUUCUCCCAUCCUGGACUUUCAUAGAUAUACAAACCCCACUUGCCUAGUUCCAACAAACAAUCUUUCAGAUUCUUCUUGAGGAGAGGAAGUGAGGUUUUUCGUCUUCAAUCUGGUUACAGGAAGUCCCCAAGUUACGAGCAAGAUAGGUUCUGGGUUGCUGUCAGUUUUCCGGGCUGUAUGGCCAUGUUCCAGAAGCAUUCUUUCCUGAUGUUUCGCCUGCUUCUAUGGCAGGUAUCCUCAGAGGUUGUGAGGUAUGUUGGAAACGAUGCAAGUGGGGUUUAUAUAUCUGUGGAAGAUCCAGGGUGGGAGAAAGAACUCUUGUCUGUCUGUUGUGAAUGUUUCAAUUGGCCACCUUGAUUACCAUUGAAUAGCCUUUCAGUUUCAAGGUCUGGCUGUCUACUGCCUGGGGAGUCCUUUGUUGCAAAGUGUUAGCUGGCCCUGAUAAUUCAUGUCUGGAAUUCCUCUGUUUUCUGAGUGUUGUUCUUUAUUUACUGUCCCGAUUUUAGAGUUUUUUAAAAUACUGGUUGCCAGAUUUUUUUCAUUUUCAUGGUUUUCUCCUUUCUGUUGAAAUUGCCCACAUGCUUUUGGAUUUCCAUG
rnacentral:lncRNA from 1 species